GAUGAACGCUGGCGGCGUGCCUAAUACAUGCAAGUCGAGCGAACAGAUGAGGAGCUUGCUCCUCUGACGUUAGCGGCGGACGGGUGAGUAACACGUGGAUAACCUACCUAUAAGACUGGGAUAACUUCGGGAAACCGGAGCUAAUACCGGAUAAUAUAUUGAACCGCAUGGUUCAAUAGUGAAAGACGGUUUUGCUGUCACUUAUAGAUGGAUCCGCGCCGCAUUAGCUAGUUGGUAAGGUAACGGCUUACCAAGGCAACGAUGCGUAGCCGACCUGAGAGGGUAAUCGGCCACACUGGAACUGAGACACGGUCCAGACUCCUACGGGAGGCAGCAAUAGGGAAUCUUCCGCAAUGGGCGAAAGCCUGACGGAGCAACGCCGCGUGAGUGAUGAAGGUCUUCGGAUCGUAAAACUCUGUUAUUAGGGAAGAACAAAUGUGUAAGUAACUAUGCACGUCUUGACGGUACCUAAUCAGAAAGCCACGGCUAACUACGUG
rnacentral:rRNA from 1 species